AGAAUUUUUCACAAUGGGCGAAAGCCUGAUGGAGCGACGCCGCGUGGGGGAUGAAUGGCUUCGGCCCGUAAACCCCUGUCAUUUGCGAGCAAAGACGCUUGUUUAAGAGAUGGGCGUACUGAUAGUAGCGACAGAGGAAGGGCCGGCUAACUCUGUGCCAGCAGCCGCGGUAAUACAGAGGUCCCAAGCGUUGUUCGGAUUUACUGGGCGUAAAGGGUGCGUAGGUGGCAGGGUAAGUUCGGUGUGAAAGCUUCGAGCUCAACUCGGAAAUGGCAUCGAAUACUAUUCUGCUUGAGGGUCGGAGGGGAGACUGGAAUUCUCGGUGUAGCAGUGAAAUGCGUAGAUAUCGAGAGGAACACCAGUGGCGAAGGCGGGUCUCUGGACGAUUCCUGACACUGAGGCACGAAAGCUAGGGGAGCAAAC
rnacentral:rRNA from 1 species